rnacentral:tRNA from 1 species
GGGAAUGUGGCUUAGUGGUAGAGUGCUUGCCUAGCAUGCAUGAAGCCCUGGGUUCGAUUCUCAGUACCA